rnacentral:lncRNA from 1 species
GAGAAGUCCUGUCCUUAGCUCUCUACGAACCCUUGUUCUCCACCUUGAGUGAUGCUCCUUGAUGACAGAGUUGUCACCUCCCUGGAGGACCCACCACACCGCUCAGCACAGCGAACAUGCCCAGGGAAUUCUUGGCAGAGAUGAUUGGUAACAAAAUAUCAGAAGUGGAUGGGCUCUUCCAAGCUGUGUGAUCAGUGGUUCUUCAACUUCGUGCCCAGCAGUUCAGGGCUCAGAAGCACCUGGUGAGGAAGGGCUGGAGGACAGUGCCCGGGUGUGGGGCCUGAGGCCAUCCCUGAAGGCUUCACAAGAGGCCUUCACUGCAGGACCCUGCCUAUGAAUUUUACCUGAUACCGUAGACCAUGCACCAACCUGCUGGGUCAGUGAGAAGUGCCACUCAAAUUAUUCUUUCUAAGCUGAGGGACCAGUGUCACAGCUGCUAAAAGAAUGUUGGCUGGCAACUGUUGAAUGACAUCUUAUCAACUGAAAAGUAAAAACU